UACGGGGGGAGCAAGCGUUGUUCGGAUUUACUGGGCGUAAAGGGCGCGUAGGCGGUCACUACAAGUCAGUUGUGAAAUCUCUGGGCUUAACUCAGAACGGUCAACUGAUACUGUCGGACUAGAGUGCAGAAGGGGCAACGGGAAUUCUCGGUGUAGCGGUGAAAUGCGUAGAUAUCGAGAGGAACACCUGCGGCGAAGGCGGGUUGCUGGGCUGACACUGACGCUGAGGCGCGAAAGCUAGGGGAGCGAACGGG
rnacentral:rRNA from 1 species